rnacentral:rRNA from 1 species
GACGAACGCUGGCGGCGUGCUUAACACAUGCAAGUCGAACGGGAACCUUUAUUUCGGUAAAGGUGAGAGUGGCAAACGGGUGAGUAACACGUAGGCAACCUGCCGACAGGAUGGGGACAACAUUCCGAAAGGAAUGCUAAUACCGAAUGGAGUCCGGAGAUGGCAUCAUCUCUGGAUAAAAGAUGGCCUCUGAAUAUGCUAUCGCCUGUCGAUGGGCCUGCGUCUGAUUAGCCAGUUGGCGGGGUAACGGCCCACCAAAGCGACGAUCAGUAGCCGGUCUGAGAGGAUGAACGGCCACAUUGGGACUGAGACACGGCCCAGACUCCUACGGGAGGCAGCAGUGGGGAAUCUUCCACAAUGGGCGAAAGCCUGAUGGAGCAACGCCGCGUGAGUGAAGAAGGUCUUCGGAUCGUAAAGCUCUGUUGCACGGGACGAAAACCGAGCUUGAGAAUAUUGAGUUUGGGGACGGUACCGAG